UAGGGAAUCUUUGGCAAUGGGGGGAACCCUGACCGAGCAACGCCGCGUGAGUGAAGAAGGUUUUCGGAUCGUAAAGCUCUGUUGUUAAGGAAGAACGAGUGUGAGAAUGGAAAGUUCAUGCUGUGACGGUACUUAACCAGAAAGGGACGGCUAACUACGUGCCAGCAGCCGCGGUAAUACGUAGGUCCCGAGCGUUGUCCGGAUUUAUUGGGCGUAAAGCGAGCGCAGGCGGUCAAUUAAGUCUGAUGUGAAAGCCCCCGGCUCAACCGGGGAGGGUCAUUGGAAACUGGUUGACUUGAGUGCAGAAGAGGAGAGUGGAAUUCCAUGUGUAGCGGUGAAAUGCGUAGAUAUAUGGAGGAACACCAGUGGCGAAGGCGACUCUCUGGUCUGUAACUGACGCUGAGGCUCGAAAGCGUGGGUAGCAAACAGG
rnacentral:rRNA from 1 species